CUGUGGUAGUGUAACAGAUCACUGUGGUAGUGUAACAGAUCACUGUGGUAGUGUAACAGAUCACUGUGGUAGUGUAACAGAUCACUGUGGUAGUGUAACAGAUCACUGUGGUAGUGUAACAGAUCACUGUGGUAGUGUAACAGAUCACUGUGGUAGUGUAACAGAUCACUGUGGUAGUGUAACAGAUCACUGUGGUUGUGUAACAGAUCACUGUGGUAGUGUAACAGAUCACUGUGGUUGUGUAACAGAUCACUGUGGUAGUGUAACAGAUCACUGUGGUUGUGUAACAAACGACAGAGUAACAUGACUACGGUGCCCCAUGUCAGUGACCGCACUUUCACCUUCAAGAUUCGCGGUGCAGCUCCAGACACUGAACUUAAGAGUCGAGUAUUUACCACUGAACCAGAUAAACAGUUCUCAAGACUUCAUGGUGAGCAACAUACAUUACAGUAUAUAAAUAGUAGACACCGCCAGCGUUUUCUUUAAGACAAGUUUACCACACUUGGGGGUCUUAGCACACGUAAGAUGGAGCUACAGUGACGCAAGAGCCUGACUUUCCAGUUACUGCCAAGUCGAGUGUGUCUGUGAGUGUUGUUCUCCGCUCCAUCACUGGCCCCCCUGGUCUCAGCGCCUUAGGUCCACUGGCGACGCUCUACUUGACGGGAAAUCCUCGCUAACACGCUCUACAGGUGAGUCAAAGUGGAGGUAACGACCAGCCUCUCGAAGAUAAGUAUAAAUAUUUUGUUGUUGUUGAGUCGGUGACCGCUAACGUGGGUUACUUAACAACGUGUAGCCUGGCUCACGCCUCCCUCCACCUGGUAUAUAAUGUUCCCUCUUAAAAUAUAUUAGUAAAUUAACGAAAGUGAUCAGCAUUCACUUUUUAUCGGCCAUUGUAUGAGUGGUUCAGUGGCAAGAGAAGUUAAUAAUCAACAGGUAGAAGUAUAUUUCUAGUGUCGAUAUAUAUUAGGUACCAACUUAUUAAAUACAUAUAUGACAAGAAGUUCUGUAAUAUAUAAUUACUAUCUACGAACUAUUACCGAGGCAUGUGUUAUAGUAUGCGCUUACCAAGAUAACACAUAUGUCUUCCUUCCUGUGGUGUGGUGG